rnacentral:rRNA from 1 species
UGCAAGUCGAGCGGAGAUAUAGAGAGAUUCUCGGAUACUUCUUAUCUAGCGGCGGAUGGGUGAGUAACACGUGGGUAACCUGCCCUGCGACAGGGGGAUAACAGCUGGAAACGGCUGUUAAUACCGCAUAUGCACACGCUGCCGCAUGGCAGAGGGUGGAAAGAUUUAUCGGUGCAGGAUGGGCCCGCGUCGGAUUAACUGGUUGGCAGGGUAACGGCCUACCAAGGUGAUGAUCCGUAGCCGACCUGAGAGGGUGACCGGCCACAUUGGGACUGAGACACGGCCCAAACUCCUACGGGAGGCAGCAGUGGGGGAUAUUGCACAAUGGGCGCAAGCCUGAUGCAGCGACGCCGCGUGAAGGAAGAAGUAUUUCGGUAUGUAAACUUCUAUCAGCGGGGAAGAAGAUGACGGUACCCGACUAAGAAGCCCCGGCUAACUACGUGCCAGCCGCAGC